rnacentral:rRNA from 1 species
UACGUAGGGAGCAAGCGUUGUCCGGAAUCAUUGGGCGUAAAGCGCGCGUAGGUGGCUUCGUAAGUCCGUUGUGAAAGUCAAAGGCUCAACCUUUGAAAGCCGAUGGAUACUGCGGAGCUAGAGUACGGAAGAGGCGAGUGGAAUUCCUGGUGUAGCGGUGGAAUGCGCAGAUAUCAGGAGGAACACCUGUGGCGAAAGCGGCUCACUGGACCAUAACUGACGCUGAUGCACGAAAGCUAGGGGAGCAAACAGG